rnacentral:lncRNA from 1 species
GAUUUAGCAGUCAUUGUCAGUGAAGUAAAGGGUAAAAUAUGAGAUUUUGUUAAAAUUGUAGGAUUCAAAUUAAUAGUCAAUUAAUAUUAAUUUAAAUCAAGAUAAAUGAGUAUAAUUAUGUGUCAUACUAAUUUAUUAGGUUUAAAAUAGUAUUAAAUAAAUACUAAACUAUGUCCAAUCAAGAUAAAUAAGUAUAAUUAUGUGUCAUACUAAUUUAUUAAGUUUAAAAUAGUAUUAAAUAGAUAUUAAACUAUGUUCAAUCAACGUGAUAUUUUAAAAUAUUUAUUUUUACAGCGAAAUUUACUGAACGAUUUAGAUCAUCAAAAUAUACACAAAACAAGACACAUAAUACUUGAACUGAACCGGAACAAUCCAUUUGAAGAAUUGUAGAGAAGCAAGUGGGGGAAUCAAAAACUUCUCCACUUGCUUAAAAUUAUAUGUUUCCUUAACUAAAAAGCGGGAAAAAAAUCCUAAUCCAAGAAAAAUCAUACCUCAAAAUAUCCACUUUUGUAUCAACCUUACCAUAUUAUUCAAUCCAUGCCUCUAGGAACAGUAGUUUUAUGAAUUGAGUCUUCACCAUUCUGCAUCCACCAUCCCGAACAAUGCCUUGAGAAACAUUAAAUCUAUUCGCUUGCACUUCAAUACGAUAAAUCGCCAAUUUUUUUCAAAACUGUAAGAAUGAAUCUGAAGAUAAUUCUCAAGAAAACGUAACAGUACCAAUCUGUUUCAACUUUCAUUCUUUUGGUGAUUUUUUCCAAUCGGAUCUUUUUAUGCUUGUAAAUCUGCAUUCAAAUUCAAACAAAUUUUAACACAUCAAAAGGAUGCCCCCCCAAAAAUUUUUUGUGUUUGUAAUUUUGGGUAACGUCUCAAAGGUUAGAAAAACCCUAGAAAGUUUAUUUGUAUCAAGAACUUGAUAAUAUAUAAUAAUCAAUAAAAAAAUCAUAAGAACGUAAACAAUUCAAAGCAGUAUAGCAGUCUGAAAUUUUGGAGUCUUUGGGACUUCAAUGGCAAUAAGUUUAAAUAACAUAAAUAAAGUUAUAGUCUUUGGAUAAGACAAUGUGUGACUUGGCGGUACAACAACUUAGAAAUGAGUGUCCGGAGUUCGAUCAAAUGGAUAAGAAACCCCUCCCCAUUUGUUGUCAACUUGGAAUUAAAUAAGAGCUCCGAAUCAGAAUCUCAAGAAACAUAGCACAAUGGACUUGAAACAAAGGGAUAAUAGCGUAUAAUGAUGACAUCACGCUCCUGAUGGUGCUAGGAUGGGUGUUCAAUACGGUAUAACUGGGGGGAAAAUCAGUCUGAACUGGGUUUUUAUAUCCCAUACUCGUACCAAAUGACGACCAAAAGAAAAACACAGUAUUUGAAAUUCAAUAACUUCCUUCGGAAUGCUUGCUUGAUAAUACAUUUGUGAUAUUCAAUUCUCAGCUGUUCCAUAGAUAGAACCUAUACGGAAAAUUAUAUGGUUACUACUUACUAGUGUUGGAAAGUAAUCGAAACAUACUAGUUCAGCCCGUGUUUCUCGUUAUUCCAUUAACCAUGACAACCUCAAAAGUUAGAUCAUCUGUGUCUAGUUUGCAGCAAUUGGGCAAAAUAUAAUCAUGAACGAAAAUCAGAAAAAAAAACAAUAGGAUGAAUAUGGAGACUAACGUACAGAAACACAACUCGGGGCAUAGCAAAUACCACAAUAACAAGAAAAAGCGCCAAAUUAAACUACUUAGUUUCAGUUUACACUCAAAACGCAAUGCCAAUUUAACCAUUCAAAUUCACCAUCGUUAAUUUUGGACAGAACCCAUUGUUUACUAGAAACGCGAAUUUAAGCCAUCUAAAUCAACAACCAAACCAUGACUUACCAAGCAUACACUGUUAGUGAUCUAAAUCGAAUCAGAGAAUAAAGAGCAGUCAAAUACCCAAUUGAUCAAUGUAUCCAACGUCAUCAAGAGUCGGUGAACUUCACAAACCAAGAUAAAUAGCUUGGAUCAUCUAGGUGUAGUUGAGGUGGUCCACAUCAAUCCAAUUGAAUGGUGCAGUCCAAUUUUAUUUGGACGCAAAGAGAGUUACGCCAAUGGCUUUGUCACUAAAUGAGUUCUCAAUUCUUUGACUGCCAGGCGCCAUUUAUAUACAGCUAAAUUAAAUGCAUUAAAUAUAAAUUGAUAAUAACCGAGUAUAUAUAAAAUAUUAGUAUGUAACUUCUGCUUAUUUGCAGCAUAGACUCUAGUUCCUAGGUAUUGCUAGAGGCCACAAGAGUCAGAGUAGUCAACACACGAAUAUGUACUUGUGUUCCAUAUCAGUAAAUAAAAAGAAUCGUCCACCAAGGUAGCUUCAUUCUAUCCUGUUUGCAGAUAUUCAGCGAUUGUUGUUCAUGAUCCAAUUACGAAGAAACAGGGGGAUGAAUAUGUAACAUAUUGUCGAAAGACAAGUCACAUGAUCAUGCCUCAUUGGCAAACACCAAAUCAUAGCUAUAAAAAAAAUGCAUGCCAUCUUGGCAUCAAUUAACCCAUAACAA